CCAGUAGUCAUCAUAGGUACGUUACUGAUAGAUUUAAUCAAUCGGUCUAUUAACCAGUUGAGAAAAAAUUUUCAAUUUUUCUAUCAGUAACGUACCCAUUAUGAUUAUU
rnacentral:pre_miRNA from 1 species